UCGCAUGCGCCAAGUUGCCUUUGCAAUUGCGCUCACACUGAGUUUUUUUAAUGCAGAGUGACAGAAGGGACCACUCCCACAGGGAAGAGUACACCGCUUAUGAAGCAACAGGCGGCAUGCAGGAAAGUGAUGGUCCUCAAAGAUGACUUCACUGAUUGUUAAGCCACAGGCUUGGCUAGGUUGGAGCCCCUUGCCGGAAAAGCAGGAAGCUUAGUUCGCGUGUGACUGCGCAGGGAGAUAGAUGUGCGCAAACGUCAAAAAGGUUUCUCUUCAAAAUGGAUCGCGAGGAACGUGAAUGGCAACAUAUUUUAUCUUUUUUAGAGGAAUCUGAUUCAGAACAAAGUGACCAUUUGACAGAAAGUGAGGUAAAUGCAGAUCACGAAAGAGAAAUGCAAAAGAGAAUCGGAGAUUUCCUUGGAGAGUCUUCUGAGGAGCCAUCAGCAAAAGUUCAAGGUGGACUGAAAAGAUGUCUAGUUUGCUAAAAAAAAGGUCGCAAGACCACCCACACAUGCACAAACUUACAAGUUUAUUUGGUCCGAACAUAUUGUUCUGUACUGCAGCAAGUGUGCUGAUAUGCUGCAAGAAAGUUAUUAGUAUAAUGGUGCCCAUUCACUUGUGCG